CUAAUAAAAUUAUCAUUGGUGGGUAAAUACCCACGAGUAUAUGACACAGAAAAUCACGUGAGGUACCUACAUAUUUCAUGCAUUUUUUAAUUUUUUUCGGUAUUUAUAUUCAAAUGCAAACAUAUAAUAAAUUACUUUUUUAGUUGUGCCUUUGUGAAUGUAAUUAAUUUAUUUCUCAAUCGUGUAAUCAAGUUUAAGCUAUAGAAAUUGACUGAAGUGAUCACUAUAUUUGAUUUAACUGCAGUACACCAGUAUAAAGUAUAAUAUAGAUACUUAGUUAUUGAAGAAUUUAAAAAACUCACUACCUACAUUAAAGAUCUAAAAACCAAGCAUUCAAUAUGAAUUCUGGGAUUCAAAUUUCUGUGAUGGUGCUGUUCUUCUUGUUUGCAUUCAAUUACAAUAUUGAUGGCAGUUACAGUGCUAGUCCAGAGAAAAUCCAAGAAGAUACGCUCAAGCUGAGAGAAGAACUUGUCAAAACCAAAGAGGAUCUUGUAAAUACACGAGAACGUGCACUGAAUUUAACAGCGGAUCUUUUGAAUAAACGAGAACAGGAACUGAAUCAAAGAGAAGAAGCUGCCAAACAAAAUGGAAUGUCGAAUGAAGAUAUAGAAAUGUGCAAAGCCCUGAAAAAUAAAACAUGGUACAUAUAUCUACUAUAUAAUUGGUCUGCUCAAUCAGGUUCAACUACGCUUACUGAUCUCAAGGGCGUAGUAAACUAUAAUUGUCCUACGGAUGGACUUUGUCUUUUCGCAAGAUAUUGAAUUCCAUUUAUGAGAGAAGGGGACUAAAAUUUGGCUCACUGACUGAAUCUUACAGCGGAUCUUUUAAAUAAACGAGAACAUGAACUGAAUCAAAGAGAAGAAGCUGCCGAACAAAAUGGAAUGUUGAAAGGUAAAACAUGGAACAAAGAAGCUAUACAAGGACUGUCAGCUUAAAGCACUAUAGUCUCGGAAACGGAUCUCAAGGAAAUGUCAGAAUUUCGGUGUCCUUAAAAGGAUGGAUUUUGCAAUUUCAUCAUCUUUGGUAUGCUUUGGUGAAGGUCUAGGCCAAUAGUUCUACUUGUUUAUGUAAUGUUCAACAAAUACAAAAUUAAAAUAAAGAA